UACAGAGGUCUCAAGCGUUGUUCGGAUUCAUUGGGCGUAAAGGGUGCGUAGGCGGCGCGGUAAGUCGGGUGUGAAAUCUCGGGGCUUAACUCCGAAACUGCAUUCGAUACUGCGGUGCUUGAGGAUGGAGAGGAGACUGGAAUUCAUGGUGUAGCAGUGAAAUGCGUAGAGAUCAUGAGGAAGACCAGUGGCGAAGGCGGGUCUCUGGACAGUUCCUGACACUGAGGCACGAAGGCCAGGGGAGCAAACGGG
rnacentral:rRNA from 1 species